rnacentral:rRNA from 1 species
CCUACGGGGUGCAGCAGUGAGGAAUAUUGGUCAAUGGACGCAAGUCUGAACCAGCCAUGCCGCGUGCAGGAUGACGGCUCUAUGAGUUGUAAACUGCUUUUGUACGAGGGUAAACCCCGAUACGUGUAUCGGGUUGAAAGUAUCGUACGAAUAAGGAUCGGCUAACUCCGUGCCAGCAGCCGCGGUAAUACGGAGGAUCCGAGCGUUAUCCGGAUUUAUUGGGUUUAAGGGGUGCGUAGGCGGUUUGAUAAGUUAGAGGUGAAAUGUCGGGGCUCAACCCCGAAACUGCCUCUAAUACUGUUGGACUAGAGAAUAGUUGCGGUAGGCGGAAUUCCUAGUGUAGCGGUGAAAUGCGUAGAUAUUAGGAGGAACACCAGUUGCGAAGGCGGCUCUCUGGACUGUAACUGACACUGAGGCACGAAAGCGUGGGGAGCAAACAGGAUUAGAUACCCGAGUAGUC